UACGAAGGGGGCUAGCGUUGCUCGGAAUUACUGGGCGUAAAGGGCGCGUAGGCGGACAGUUUAGUCAGAGGUGAAAGCCCAGGGCUCAACCCUGGAAUAGCCUUCGAUACUGGAUGUCUUGAGUUCGGGAGAGGUGAGUGGAACUCCGAGUGUAGAGGUGAAAUUCGUAGAUAUUCGGAAGAACACCAGUGGCGAAGGCGACUCACUGGCCCGAUACUGACGCUGAGGCGCGAAAGCGUGGGGAGCAAACAGG
rnacentral:rRNA from 1 species